ACUCUCUCAUUUGAGUCUUACUAUUAACAAGUAGAAAACUGCAAUCAUGCCACUCUGGAAUCAAGAUUUGCUCUCAAAUGAGUCUUUAAUGACUUCGAAACAAAUUGGAUUCUUCACCAAAAAUAGAAUAUGUAAGCUUCUUGAUCACAUGAGCAAAUGAAACAUUUAUUAGCUGAAAGGUGGAGGAUUUUCUUUUUAAGUGUGUGAAGGUUUUUCUUAGAAAUAUUUCUGCUUUUGAAAUUAAUUAUAUGUAUGGUAAGUCUAUGGGUAUAUUUUCUUUUUUAAACAGAUUUUUAUUUUUUAAAUUUAUUUUUUUUUGGCCAUGGCAUGCAGAAGUUCCCAGGCUAGGGACUGAACCCGAGCCAUAGUAGUAACCUGAGCUGCAUGUUAUGAGCCCAAAUUCUUAGCCAUCAGGGAACGCCUUGGUCUGUUUUCACCUACAGGGAAGAACUAAUUGUAAUGACUAGGAAAAGAAGAAAGGAGUGUUAUUAAACUAUGCUUAUCUUCUUUAUUGUCCAAGACCUGCAGUAGUUUUCACUUUGUUAGUAAUUUAGUACUUCUCAUCUACCAGAUUUAGAACUUCUAAACUUCUAAAGUUAAAAAGUAUAGAAAAUCUGCAAGCAGUAAAGUUGCUUGAACUGUAAAUGACUUGCAUUUUUUCUCUCUUUGUGCCCAGUGAUAGAGUUUUUCUAGUUUCCUGUGUCUCUUGUGUACUUCAUUUGCCUGGCAUUGAUUUUUUAAACUUUGGUAACUCAGUACUAUAUUUGAUGAACUCAUAUGGCAAUAAAUGAUUGAACCCUCCAAAAUUAAUUCAUAAAAAAAAGUUUCAGCAAGUUAAAAUUGUUUGAAUAAGAUAUAUUUGGACUGAUUGUUACCAAGUAAGUCCAAGAUCAUACUGCCUGCUGUACAGUAGGUCAAUAAAUUGAGAGAAGAGAUGUUGGGGCAAGAAAUAGCAACUUUAUUCAGAGAGCCAGCAGACCAAGAAAAUGGUGGACUAAUGUCCCAAAGAACCACCUUACUCAAAUUAGAAUUCAGGUUUCUUUUAUAUUAAAAGGGGAGGGGGUGUGGCUGGUUGUUGCAGACUUCUUAGAGGGGAUUUGAUAAUCCUUUGUUUUUAUAGCUGUCUAUGUAGAUAUGGUCACAAUGUUCCUACAAACCUCUAACAGAACAAAUGUUAUUUUCUGUUCAGCAACUUUUUAUCUCUAUUUGAAUGAAAAGUGAUAUGGCUUUAAAGGUCAAGCCUGGGAGGCAGAGCUUUGAGAAAGGCUGUUAUAUAUACUUUGGGCUAUUGUCAAAAUUCUUUUAUGAAAAGUGCAGAGCCAAUAGGACUAAUCACAGACAACAGAAGACAAAGGUUAGAGCUAAAGGAGUAGAUUCAAUAUGGAAUCAGGUUUGUUCUUUUUUGUUACAUGAUGCCUAGAGUUGCCUUCCAAAGGAUGUUUUUUUCUGGCAAACAGAACCAAUCAAGAAAUAGAAAUGCAGUUUAGGAAUUGAUUAGUGAGCCAAGAAUUCAUAUCAUAAUGUCUCAAAUGUUUUCAAAGGAUGAGAUUAUAAGGCAGUUACAAUAACUAGGUCUGAUAAGUCGCUCAGAAUUAGAAUGCCCCAUACAUAACAACAUGAUGAAAAGCUGAUACAUAUUUAAUUUUUAAUCUUUAAACAAUAGAUGCUACAUUGUAUUAUAAUACAUUCAUUUGGCUACAAUUAGGCUAUUAUUUAAUAUAUUUCAACAUCUGAGCUAUUGAGGUUUCUUUCUUUCUUCAAGGAAGAAUUUAGGGAAUAAGAACAGUCAUUAAACAUACAUUUAUUGAAAUCUUAUAAUUUGCCAGACACUGUUGUAGGUCUUACAAAUAUCGCAGCAAAUGGGGUGUAUAAAAUUCUUGUCUUCUUGGAUAUCUUACUUUCUAGAGGUAUGGAGGGCAAUAUUACAAACAAGGUAACAAAUAAAUCAUUAUUUUAGACACCCUUAAGUACUGUGGAGAAAAUAAAACAGACUAAUGGGAUAGAAGUAAAUGGUGGUUGGUUACUUCAAAUAGGGUGUUCAGGGGUGAUUUCCUUUAGGUAUUUACAUUUAAACAGAGAGCUGAGUAUUCAGAAGAGAUCCUGAAAAGACAGAAGUCUGUGUGGAAUAAUCAGCAAAUACAAUCAUAAGUUUAUUGACACAUCAUAAAUAACGAGAUGUAUAAAUGCUCUGCAGAACUGAGAAAAUGGGAUUAUGCUUGUGGCCAAUGUUUGGAUGGAAACAAUAACAUUAACUCUUUGGGGUUUUAUGUCUCAGGUACUUAUGCAUAUUAUUUGCCAUUUAACUAGUUAAGUUACUCAUUCAAUCUACAAAAUUGUUCGUAGCAUCUACUGGGUGCUAUGCUCAUUCUACACACUUUGAACAAUGAUUAGGUAGUUGACAUAACCUCAACUUCAUGGAACUUAAACUUUAGUGGUGGAAAGAGUUCCCACUGUGGCUCAGCAGUAACGAACCCAACUAGUAUCCAUGAGGAUGCAGGUUUGAUUCCUGUCCUUGCUUAGUGGGUUAAGGAUCCAGCAUUGCUGUGAGCUGUGGUGUAGGCCACAGACAUGGCUUGGAUCUGGAAUUGCUAUGACUUUGGUGUAGGCUGGCAACUGCAGCUCUGAUUUGACCCCUAGUCUGGGAACUUCUAUAUGCUGUGGGGGCAGCCCU
rnacentral:lncRNA from 1 species